GCGGAUGUAAUUUAAAGGUAGAAUGCUUGUUUUCCAAACAAGUCGUGAGGGUUCGAUUCCCUUCGUCCGCUCCA
rnacentral:tRNA from 1 species